rnacentral:rRNA from 1 species
AACGAACGCUGGCGGCAGGCUUAACACAUGCAAGUCGAACGCAUCCUUCGGGGUGAGUGGCAGACGGGUGAGUAACGCGUGGGAACGUGCCCUUCAGUUCGGGAUAACCCAGGGAAACUUGGGCUAAUACCGGAUACGUGCGAGAGCAGAAAGAUUUAUCGCUGAAGGAUCGGCCCGCGUCUGAUUAGCUAGUUGGUGGGGUAAUGGCCCACCAAGGCGGCGAUCAGUAGCUGGUCUGAGAGGAUGAUCAGCCACAUUGGGACUGAGACACGGCCCAAACUCCUACGGGAGGCAGCAGUGGGGAAUAUUGGACAAUGCGCGCAAGCCUGAUCCAGCCAUGCCGCGUGGGUGAUGAAGGCCUUAGGGUUGUAGAGCUCUUUCGUCCGGGACGAUAAUGACGGUACCGGAAGAAGAAGCCCCGGCUAACUUCGUGCCAGCAGCCGCCGUAA